UACGUAGGGUGCAAGCGUUGUUCGGAAUCACUGGGCGUAAAGGGCGUGUAGGCGGAGAGAUAAGCUAGAGGUGAAAGCCCAGGGCUCAACCUUGGAACUGCUUUUAGAACUGUCUUUCUUGAGGGGGUCAGAGGUCUGUGGAAUUCCUGGUGUAGAGGUGAAAUUCGUAGAGAUCAGGAGGAACACCGGUGGCGAAAGCGGCAGACUGGGGCCACCCUGACGCUGAGGCGCGAAAGCGUGGGGAUCAAACAGG
rnacentral:rRNA from 1 species